AUUGAACGCUGGCGGCAGGCCUAACACAUGCAAGUCGAACGAGUGGCGCACGGGUGAGUAGUGUCUGGGAACCUCCCCGAUGGGGGGGGAUAACUACUGGAAACAGUCGCUAAUCCCGCAUACCCUCGGAUGUGCCCAGAGGGGAUUAGCUUUUGGGUGGGGUAACGGCUCACCUAGGCGACGAUCCCUAGCUGGUCUGAGAGGAUUACCAGCCACACGGGAACGGAGACACGGUCCAGACUCCUACGGGAGGCAGCAGUGGGGAAUAUUGCACAAUGGGCGCAAGCCUGAUGCAGCCAUGCCGCGUGUAUGAAGAAGGCCUUCGGGUUGUAAAGUACUUUCAGCGAGGAGGCGUUACUCGCAGAAGAAGCACCGGCUAACUCCGUGCCAGCAGCCGCGGUAAUUC
rnacentral:rRNA from 1 species